ensembl:antisense Gm14257 predicted gene 14257
AGAUAAGAUCUAACUAACUCUGGCUGGCCUGGAACUGGUUAUGUAAACCAGGCUGGUCUAGAACUCACUGAGAUCCUCCUGCCUCUGCCUUCCAAAGGCUGGAAUUAAAGGUAUCAGACCACAAACAUUAUUCUGGCAACAGCCAGAUCACCUCCCUGCCAACUCUGUCCCAUUCAUACGAGACAUCUGGAGGGCUGUCCUUCCUAGACUGGAGAGAGGCACCUGCUUUAUCUAAAGAGUUGGAAGGAUUUUGGUCCCUGGGUUAGGCCACUGAUUUACAGUCAGUAGAAAUUCUCCUUCAUAAAUCUCUCUUCAAUUUGACAUCCCCCCUCCCCUUUUUUCCCUUCACAGCGAUGGCUUGGAGCCUCACCAACUUACAGCUAACUCUGGACCAUGUCUGUCUGUACCUAAUAUAUAGAAUGGCGUCUUGUCUCUGCUAAAUCUCCAGCCUCAAGGUUUCUUCCUGAGGCCAGCUCUUAACAGCCUGCCCCACACUCUAGAGCCCACCUUUUAUUUACACCAAACCAAUUAGGAGUUUGCUAUCUUAGGCAUAAUUCCCUAGGGUUUGAUCAGAUACAUUCAUUUCAGGAAAAUUUUUAUCAGAAAGGAACAUCUUUUUUUAAAAUCAGGUAUAUAUAGUGGCUAUUCCUGAUUGUCAACUUGACUAUAUCUGGAAUGAACUACAAUCCAGAAUUGGAAGGUUCACCUGUGAUCCUAAUCUGGAGACUGGGAGAUACAAGUUUCUGACCUGGAUCUUGGCAUGGA